UUGCCUCCAUCUACAGCGAGGUCCAGGCGAGUCGCAUCGACCACGCCCUCCCUCUCCCUACCGUGCUCAGAAACCCCUUCAAGAUCGUCGAAGGACCACCUAGUUCCGCGGCUGGCAAUCCAGAUGAAAUCGCAAAGAUUUUUCCUCAACUUUUCGGCCAGCCAUCUGCCUUGGUGGUGCCGAGCGAUUCUGACUCUAACGAUUCGCAGAAAAAGUUGAAAAUUGGUGUCGUUUUGUCGGGAGGCCAGGCACCUGGAGGGCACAAUGUCAUUUCUGGAAU